UUUUAUUAUAUCAUUCAUCAUUCAUGUUUAUUCAUCAUUGAUUCUUCAAAAAAGUAAUGACUCUGAAUUGAGUUGUGUGGCAACCUCAUACUAUAUAAGUUCAUGGUUUAUAUUAUCCAAAAACCAAAUAGAUCAAACUGCAGAAAGUUCUAAACUUUAUUAUUGAUUUUUGUAUAUAUUGCCGUGAAAUUUCUUAUACACAUUUGAUUGAUACAAAUCUCUUUUGAGCAUGAUUUUGAUCAUACAGAACAUGAUACCAUUGAUCAUAGUUUUGAUCUUCUUCUUCUUCUUCAGUAUUGUUCUGGCUUCCCUGCUACAUAAUCCAAGAGUCCUUCACCAACUUUUUCAUCAUGAACUUCUUCUGUUGAGAAUAUUGAAACACCUCCAAAGGCUAUAAUUGCAACCAAGAAAACAGUAGUGGAAGCAAACAAGGGCCAAAAAUAGGCCAGAAUGGUUAGAAUUCUAGGGGCUGCAUAUAACACCAAAGACAAUGUUAGUGAAACUGCUAUUGCUAUGAUGAUAUAGUAUCUAUAUUUUAGAAGCUUUUGUGAUACAUCCAUGGCCUCUUCAAUUAGUACUUUUACUCCAAAAGGGAAUGGAAAAAAGGAAGAUGGAAAGAAUAUGGUUAUUUCUUGUUCAAAGAGUUUAGUGUUAUAUAUGUGAGUUCAUAAAAAGUG
rnacentral:lncRNA from 1 species